AACGCGAAGAACCUUACCUGGGCUCGAACGGCUUUGGAACAUCCUUGGAAACAGGGACUUCCCGCAAGGGACCGGAGUCGAGGUGCUGCAUGGCUGUCGUCAGCUCGUGUCGUGAGAUGUUGGGUUAAGUCCCGCAACGAGCGCAACCCUUGUCCUGUGUUGGCAUGCCGCAAGGCGCAACUCGCAGGAGACCGCCAGCGAUAAGCUGGAGGAAGGUGGGGAUGACGUCAAGUCAGGAUGGCCCUUACGCCCAGGGCUGCACACGUACUACAAUGCUCAGUACAGAACGAACCGAAAUCGCGAGGUGGAGGAAAUCACUAAAACUGAGCCCGGUUCGGAUUGUAGGCUGCAACUCGCCUACAUGAAGCCGGAAUCGCUAGUAAUGGCGUAUCAGCUACGACGCCGUGAAUACGUUCCCGGGCCUUGUACACACCGACGCGUA
rnacentral:rRNA from 1 species